rnacentral:tRNA from 1 species
GCCUAGAGGUAAGGCGGAUUGAAAAUCCGCGUGUCGGUGGUUCGAAUCCGCCCCCAGGCACCA